AAUCAACGCUGGCGGCGUGCCUAACACAUGCAAGUCGAACGCGAAAGGGCUUCGGCCCUGAGUAGAGUGGCGUCCGGGUGAGUAACGCGUGGGUAAUCUACCCUCGGGUGGGAAUAACCAAUCGAAAGAUUGGCUAAUACCGCAUAAUGCAGCGGCUCGACAUCGAGACAGUUGUUAAAGCAGCAAUGCGCCAGAGGAGGAGCCUGCGUCUGAUUAGCUUGUUGGCGGGGUAACGG
rnacentral:rRNA from 1 species